AAACCGCUGUUGGAGAUCGAAUCCAAGGCAAGAAACUUCGAAGCAAUACUUCUCUCGGUGCUGGAAAAGGAGUUUGGGUGGUGGAUUCACUCAUUCCGGCAAGAAAAUCCGAGAACGGACAAAGUUUCUCGAAGUUCUUGGAUGAGAAUCGGACGAAAAUCGGAGUUUAGUCAGACUUCGGGUAAACCGAUCGAAAACAGAAAAUGAGAGAGACAGA